GUUUGGAAUACAUAGAUUACGAGAAGGAAAAGAAACAUUUCUGAAGCAUCUAUGUGUCCUAGAAGUAGAAUUUUUCAGAGGUGGCCCCUUCUUUGGAAUAGUCCAGUGGCACCUGAAGCAAGAUGAGAAAGAAGCUGAAACACAAGGUUCAUCUGUGCUGCGAUUACAGCUGCAUGCCACUGUCUCCAGUGAGGCAACUUUUUUACUACACCAACUUCAGAUGACUGCUGUGUCUUCUGCACAAAUUUGAAGCUCUUUUGUGCUGCUAUCCCAGGAUCAUGCUACAACAAUAUUUCAGCUUCAGGAAAAACAGCAACAAGAAGCUAUAAGGAUGAAAUCCAGGGUUUUGGGCAUCAAGGCUUGCCUGGUGCCUAAGGAGGUCUGAAGAGAACACCAGACUCCCCUGAAACUGCCUAAUCAUAAGCCACGUUUCAGCGUUCAAGAUUAUAGGUUGUAUUGUGUGAUUACUCCUUGUAUUAAUAAGAGAAGGAAGACAGGCUGAUCAAGCACUAGCUCUAUGUUUGUGUCAGAUUAAUUAUGAAAGCACAUGAACAUCAUAUAACAGAAUCAAGAAAUGCUACAAAAAAUCACAUGCAGUGUUCAUUCAUGCAUACAUGUGCAGACUCAGAAGAGAUGGAGAGCUGCGAGAAAAUAGGUUAAAUGCCGUAAGACAUUCUAAUGAGUGACCAAGAUCAUUGAAAACGGUAAGGAGAGCCUUUCCCACUCACCUGGAACCAAAUGCUUCCCUCUGUCGUAUCUUAUCUAGGAACGAGGAAAUGCCACUAACUACAGGUUCCAUGUAUCCCAGAUUGGCCUUGAAUUCGCUAUGCAUCUGAGGAAGGCCUUGAACUCCUGAUCCUCCUGCCUCCACAUUCCAAACAGGAGCCUACCAUGGCUGUCCUCUGUGAGCCCAGCAGACCAUGGAAAGGGAUGCAGAAACACCCACACAAAGUAAGUUUUUAGUGAAGAGUAGCCAUAGAAAGGAAGAGAAGAAAGCCCCUACUGGAGGGUACUAGAGAUCUACAUCUCUGGGAAGAUCCAACACACAGGUCUCCAUCUACUGCAUAGUUUCACUGGAAAACUCAGCAAGUGUUGUGUGUGAUAACCUGGACGGAAGAAGUCAGAUUGAUACCUUUCUACUCUCUGAAGGAAAGAGACACAGCACCCGUAUGAAUACACCACUCAGUGGGAACAUUCAUUUCCAAGCACAGGAGGACUUAAUUUUGGGACUCUCCUGCAAUCAAUUGCAAGUGUACUUUCUUCUCUUCUGUUCUCAGUCACUCAGCACCAGGUACACAGGAUCUAGCAGGUUUAUUGCAGUUGGAGGACCCACCCUCUGUGGAUACCAGCACUCCAUGGCUGAAAUCCUGGACUGUGCAAUAAGAUAAAAUCAAAAGAAAAUUUCUAGACCGAAGAGUCUUUAAGCUGAUGGCAAGCAACCAGCUGGAAUUACUGAAGAGAUGAGCACUACUGAAAAGAGACUGCCUACACUGAACUAGGACAGCAGGAAUGGUGUCCUCAGGAUAAAACAGAACCCAGUGGGGGCUCCAUCCUGCGAAGAUCCAAAGUCAUUUAUAAGAAGACAGCUUAAACUGAAGGGGGUUCCCUGUUCCUCAAAAUCAACUACCCAGGAAAAUGUUUUGCCAAAGUCAGCACACAGAAGCUGAUAGAACUGUGCUCUGGUGGGUGAGACGCAAGUACAUCUUGACCUGGCAGUGGAUCUUGGAAGUAUGGCUUACAUGGUACUGGUAUUAGAGGCAUGAAAGAUGGAAGGUUGAAGGGGUCCAGGAAUCUUGCUCUAUGGUUCGAGAGAGAUGAUAUGUCAGGCAGUAUGGGACAAUAUUGGAAUUCCUGCUAAGAGGUUCUGAGAAGUCAUUUCAUGAGGCUAUGGACAUGAAGCCUGUUAAAUGGAGACCAUGGGGGUGCCAGAACUGUGGCUUACCCAUCAAGGAAAGCUUCAGAAAUGGAAUAGAGCCAUCCCAAAGCCAAGAGAGAAUGUGUGUUGCAGACAGCCAAGCUGGAGAGAUGGAGAUACCUAAGGCUUUUGGUGUCCAUUUGAUUAUAUCAAAAAUCCUAGUUGACCAACACGAAGGUGAAAGGAUUUUGUGUUCACCACAAUGGAUAUUGGUUUUGGGCUGGUCCAAUUAUUCUUUGCUAUACCCCAAUUGUUAUAUAUUGGAAUGGGACUGUUUAUUCUGUAUCAUCGUAUGCUGGACUAUGCAACUUUGUUUGUUUGUUUGUUUUAAUUUAUAAACACUCACAGUUAA
rnacentral:lncRNA from 1 species